GGAGGGAGGGAGAAAGGGAGAUAGGGAGAUCAGUCAGAGGUCUAAUGAGGAAAAGGUGUUAGCAAAGGAGAUUAACUCGGAGCAGCCGGUAGACAGGAAGAAACAGGGGAGCGCGAAGCCGUGGAAGUUAAGAGGGGAUCAGCUGUAUGAAAGGUUCAACAAAAUGAGUGCCCCGCUGCCAGUGAUGACAGUGCAAGGUGCGGUCCCGCUCUGGAAGAUGGACGACAGUAAAAUAAAUACCGUUUCCCGUUCAGCUCCUCCACGGACAGUCCUUGUAAGCCUCAGGCUGCGGAAAGCGGGACUGAACCGAGACCUCUCAAUGAGAGCCAGCAGAUAAGACGUGUGCAAGGAUAUUCCGAGGAGAAAAUUUCAAAAAGAAGAAAACCCGUUCCUCCUGAGAUCUCUCCAAACCAGGCUUUGGGUUGGUCGAGGAUAUCCGAGAGCAGCAUUGCACUCAAUCCAGACUGACCUCAAGGCGGCAGCAGUGAGCAGAGUGCCGGGCGGAUGCCCAGUCCCGCCCGAAGCCAAAGGGGAGGAAGUACAGCCCCAGGAAUGAGGGCUCCCUCUGACCCCGCCUCCCUUCGCCGACGGCCAAUCAGGAUGCAGCUGGCAGGACCAAGGCGCGAGGACGGGGAGGAGCGAAGACCUGAGGAUCCUUAAUCCACCGCCAGGCGGUGUCUAGUUAUAUGUUCGAUAACUUUCCGUGCUGGGACUUUGUUGCUCAGACAAAAACCGAGUACAACACUAUGGAGAAAGAUCUCGCAGUUUCAUAUAAAACUAAAUAUACAACUA